AUUUCUCUGAGAUGUUCGCAAGCGGGCCAGUCCCCUGAGCCGAUAUUUCAUACCACAAGAAUGUGGCGCUCCGCGGUUGGUGAGCAUGCUCGGUCCGUCCGAGAAGCCUUAAAACUGCGACGACACAUUCACCUUGAAGCAAGGGUUCAAGGGUUACAGCCUGCGGCGGCAUCUCGGAGAUUCC
rnacentral:other from 1 species